CCCUCCAUGGAUGAGAACGACGACCAGGGCAUCCAUGUUCGAGAGCUCAACGGCUCCUGGGGUAAGCAGCACCCCCAAAUGGUUGCUUCGCUUUUCAAAGCCUUCUUUUUUGUUUGUGUGGGCUGGAAAUGUGUGAGCUUUAUAUGGCACAAGGGUGUGCAUUCACUGACGAAUCAUUAUAUCUUCCGCAUAGACUGUUUAGUUCCUUUUGUUAUGGUGAGUGUUACUCUGAAGUCUUAUAUCUUUGAUAUUAUGAAUGUUUGAAGUCUGAACAUCCUAUGUAUGACGAUGUGUAUAUUUUAGAAGUAGUGUGUUCGUGCAUAUCUAUUUUGAAGCUGGUUAUUCUAAUAAUUUGUUCUUUGUGUACCAUAUGUUGGUUACUCUAAUAAUUUGUUCUUUGUGUACCAUAUGUUGGUUACUCUAAUAAUUUGUUCUUUGUGUACCAUAUGUUAUCUUUUCUCCUCUUGUUGAUAUUCAUGUCAAACUGAACAAAAUACUAACUGUUGCAAUUUGAGCUGGUUUUUCCUUAUUAUUUAUCCUUAUAUUUUCCUCCACAGUUAUGUGUUAUCGCAAUACAAGCAUAAAUCUAUGAUGGUAUAAACCAAGCAUUCAUGUUAUAAGAUGGUUCAUUCUCCGCAAGUCAUGGUCUUCAUCAUCGACCACAAGGAAGAGCAGCUUAAAAUCUAGCAUGGGCAUUAAUUGGCAGCUCCAGAUCUUGGUCGGAUACAUGGGGUGCGGAGCCAACUUGCCAUCCCUCUCCUCUCUCCUUGCACCCCCCCCCCUCCAAUUUUCCAAUGAGGAAACCAAACGGCGGCACCCUGUGACUUGCCUCAUCUUUAUCCGUAGCUACGGAAUGUACAGUUUCAUAACUGUUGUCAUAAACACAUUUUCUCUCAGUGCCAUGGUUGGAAGAUUCAUAGUUAAAUAAUUUGACAAAGUUAUUAUCUCUUUUCAUUUGCCAAUUGUCUACUCUGUGCUAACUAUGUAUGUUGUGCAAAAAUAGUUCCAGAUAAAUAUGUUCUUGCAACAUACUUAAAAGAGCAUGUUCUUAAAAACAGCGGCACCCUGUGACUUGGAGAACUUAUGUUGAUAUCUAGCAACAGACUUAAAAAGAGCAUGGGAACAAUUUUGAAAAAUAGAUGCCACUUUGUUUCUUAGCUCUAUAUGCUCUUGCACAAAGUAUAUUGCUUAUGUGGUCGCUACCAAACAUCUGAUAGAUUCCUUCAUUUUGAUGAUAAUUCUUUGGACAUACCUUGGGAGAUACGAAUCUUUUAUGUAUAGAUAGAUUAAAAUAUUCCUAUGUGAAGUAUUUGAGUAAAGUGGCCUUAACAGCUACCAUUAUUUAUUCAUAUCAAAGCGAGUAUUCAUAUUUGGUUGCCAGCUGUUUAGCGGCCAAUGCGCGGUAAGCCGCGCCACAGAUUUGCAGCACACUAGACAACAUUUGUUCUGCUAAGGCUUUCCUACCUUUCUUUUAGUUUGUGCUCUGAAUAUGAUCAUGUGACCUGCUUUCUUUAGUUCAUUAAAAUUUAGUCAUACUUUUCUGCUAAAUCUUCAGUUCUUUCACUUACGAUUAUGUGACCCGCUUUCUUUUCUUCUCCAUACAAUCUACAUGUUACUGUUACAUACAUGUGGGAGCAUAUUAAAUCUGUCCAUUGAAUUUUAGUCAAAUGGAUUUAAUUUAAGGCAUGUUAUGUAUUUUUCAUAUCUUCUGCCUUUCAAGUGAUGUUGGUAGCACACAUUUAGUUAUUUACCAAUGCAUGUAUUGUUCAUGUCCUCUGCAUUGUUCAUUGAGCACAAAAGUAUCACUAUUUAGGUAAAUUAUAUGAUGGGUUAUAGGAUUGCAUGAACUGCUAACCGGUUUCUAUCCUUUUAACAGAAUAUGGUCUACUCUAAUCUCUACCUGGAUUGUGUCAUGUUGGGAGGGUGAUGGAUGCGCCAUGGGCAAGUCCAUCUGAUAAAAGGUGUGGACGGAAGAGCGACAAUAACUACGGAGUUGGUCAAAGAUUGAAAGAAAUCUCUUAUGUGUCUUCGGUUUCGACAGUACGCAUAGGUUUAUGUGAUGUGGCGUAUGAAAGGUCGAACGUCAAGACGCUCAGGUGGAUCUAUCAAAAAAUAUGCUUCUAUGGAAUUAAGUAGGUUUUUUGUCUCACAUUGCUGCCAUAGCUUGCUUUUGUUGUAUGAAAAGUAUGCUAUAUGUAUCUAACUUGAUGCGGAUUGAUCGACCUUGCUUGCUUUUGGCACAAGUAUAUAUUU